UACGGAGGGGGUUAGCGUUGUUCGGAAUUACUGGGCGUAAAGCGCACGUAGGCGGAUUAGUAAGUUAGAGGUGAAAUCCCAGGGCUCAACCUGGAACUGCCUUUAAUACUGCUAGUCUUGAGUUCGAGAGAGGUAAGUGGAAUUCCGAGUGUAGAGGUGAAAUUCGUAGAUAUUCGGAGGAACACCAGUGGCGAAGGCGACUUACUGGCUCGAUACUGACGCUGAGGUGCGAAAGCGU
rnacentral:rRNA from 1 species